rnacentral:rRNA from 1 species
CACGAACCGUACGAACGUUAUUCGGAAUUACUGGGCUUAAAGGGUUUGUAGGCGGCCUUGUAAGUCAGGUGUGAAAGCCCUCGGCUCAACCGAGGAACAGCGCUUGAUACUGCAAGGCUUGAGGGAGACAGGGGUAAGCGGAACUGAUGGUGGAGCGGUGAAAUGCGUUGAUAUCAUUAGGAACACCAGAGGCGAAGGCGGCCCACUGGGUCUCAACUGACGCUGAUGCACGAAAGCUAGGGUAGCGAACGGG